CAGUCGCCACGGUAAUACGGAGGGUGCAAGCGUUAAUCGGAAUUACUGGGCGUAAAGCGCACGCAGGCGGUUUGUUAAGUCAGAUGUGAAAUCCCCGGGCUCAACCUGGGAACUGCAUCUGAUACUGGCAAGCUUGAGUCUCGUAGAGGGGGGUAGAAUUCCAGGUGUAGCGGUGAAAUGCGUAGAGAUCUGGAGGAAUACCGAUGGCGAAGGCAGCCAUCUGGCCUAAUACUGACGCUGAGGUACGAAAGCAUGGGGAGCAAACAGGAUUAGAUACCCCUGUAGUCCCUGUCUCUUAUAA
rnacentral:rRNA from 1 species